AGUGGAAUUGCUGAGUAAUAAGGUAAUGUCUAACUUGUUUAGGAACUACCGAACUGUUUUUCUAAAAUAGGUAUACUAUUUCAUAAUCCCACCAGCAAU
rnacentral:pre_miRNA from 1 species